rnacentral:rRNA from 1 species
CACGUAGGGUGCGAGCGUUUGUCCGGAAUUAUUGGGCGUAAAGAGCUCGUAGGCGGUCCGUCACGUCGGGUGUGAAAUUCCAGGGCUCAACCCUGGACCUGCAUUCGAUACGGGGCGGACUAGAGUUCGGUAGGGGAGACUGGAAUUCCUGGUGUAGCGGUGAAAUGCGCAGAUAUCAGGAGGAACACCGGUGGCGAAGGCGGUUCUCUGGGCAUUACCUGACGCUGAGGAGCGAAAGUGUGGGGAGCGAACAGG